rnacentral:ncRNA from 1 species
GUCGGGAGGGCGACGAAUACAACACCCCUUGUGGGGAAUAAGUCCGCGGUCCGUUUGUGCCGUUUCGAACCUCCCGACACCCAUAC